AAACUGAAGAGUUUGAUCAUGGCUCAGAUUGAACGCUGGCGGCAUGCCUAACACAUGCAAGUCGAACGCUGA
rnacentral:ncRNA from 1 species